rnacentral:lncRNA from 1 species
GCAAGGGGCGUCUCGUGCAAUUCUGAGUGUGCAAAGGGGGAUCCUCGUGCAACUGUGAGUGUGCAAAGGACCCUCCUUGAGCAGUUGUGAGUGUGCAAGGGGCGUCUCGUGCAAUUCUGAGCGUGCAAAGGGGUUCUUGUGUGUGGGUGAGUGUGCAAAGGGGGUCCUCGCGCAGUUCUGAGUGUGCAAGGGGGGAUCCUUGUGCAAUUCCGAGCGUGCAACGGACUCUCAAACAGUGGUGAGUGUGCAAAGGACCGUCCUUGAACAGUUGUGAGUGUGCAAAGGGGAUCCUCGAGCAGCUGUGAGUGUGCAAGGGGCGUCUCGUGCAAUUCUGAGUGUGCAAAUGGCUCUCGGUGCCAUUGUGGGCGUGCAAAGGGGUCCCUGUGCAAUUCUGGGUGUGCAAGGGCCAUCCUCGUGCAAAGGGAGGUUCCUGGCGCGGCGGUGAGUGUGCAAAGAGUGCUCCCGUGUGAGGGAAACGUCCCUUGGUGGCUGCAAGUGUGCAAGGGCCGUCCUUGUGGAAUGGUGAGUGUGCAAGAACGUCCCCGUGCCCUCGCAAGUGUGCAAGGCCCAUCCUUGUGCAAUAAUGAGUGUGUUAGAGCAUCCCUGUGCACUCACAAGUGUGCAAGAGCGUCCCUGUGCCCUCACGAGUGUGCAAGAACAUCCUUGUGCAAUAAUGAGUGUGCAAGAGCGUCCCUGUGCCCUCACGAGUGUGCAAGAACA